ACACACACACACACACACACACACACACAAAGCAGAUGUUGAGCUGUUAUCUACAGUUCUGCAACAUACAGCAGUCACACCAUGUUGCUCAGUAUAGUCACACACACACAAACACACAAAGCAGAUGUAGCAAGCAGUUGUUUAAUCUCAUGAUGAAGCUCAAGUGCACAAACGCAGAUACCUCACACAGCCAACAUCAGAUAAUAUUUAAUCAUAUAUAUGUUAAUGGCUAUAAUGUAAAACACAGAAUCCCAUAACACUCCUACGAUAAGUGCCAUGGGAUCUUUAAUGACCUCCGAGAGUCAUGACACCUGUUUAACGUCCCACCCGAAAGACAGCACCCUACACAGGGCAGUUUUAGAAUUAUAUUAAUUACAUUAUAUUAACCCUCCAACACCACUCUCCAGCCCUCCAACACCACUUCCAGCAGCAUCUGGUCUCCCAUCCAGGAAGUGACCAGGACCAACCAUGCUUAGCAUCAGAAGCAAGCCAGCAGUGGUAUGCAGGGUGGUAUGCUGCUGGCAUUACUCUACCAACGAUUUGAACCCUAAAAUGCUCAUGGAACUUACGCAUGAAGCUCUUCCUCGUUUCUGUGUGCUGUUCAAUAUUAAACGACAUUUUCUGCCAAUGCAUAAACUCAGUAUGGCAACUAGAGAACGUUCCAACGGCCGCCAUGUAGGUCACUGGUUAUAUCACGCGGGUGCUGUAGUUCCGUAACAUAAGAUAAGUGUAGUUCUUAGAUUGUGCAGGUCCUGGUUAGUUUUCUUCGAUAUUUUUUCAGGUGAAAGGCACAUUUUUCUCGUAAUUUCAUUAACCACCGAAAUAUACCCUAAGGUAAAUUGCUUGCUUAAACCAUAGACAUUAAGGAGGCCUAAACAGAGAAAUCAAACUUAAGCAAACUGUUUCUACAUCAAGUGCCUUGAACAUACGUCACUAGCGCGGGAGUUAUUCAUUAUUCAGCGUCCUUCCUUUUGCAGUGUUCUGAGUUUAAUGACGUGACCACUUCGAUUCGCAUGUUUAUAACAUACCAGUAAAUAACAAUGUAAUCCUUUGCAUAAUUAACUGAUUUAAUGAAACACGUUCUUCAUUUGCUUUAAAUCAAAUGUCACCUACUGUCACGCACACAGAAUGGUUAGGCAUCAUUGGAAUAGGACUUAAAGGUUCAAUUUCUUCCAAGCCAACCACUAUUUCGUAAUCUCUCAGACAUGCCACAUACAAUGAGAACUCGUGGAACCACAAGAAAACUACAAUCCAGCAAUGACGAAGAGACAAAAAAUUGUGCCCGCAGUGAGGAUUCCCUAUUGGAGAUUGGUCAGGCAGUCCGGGGGGAAGGGGAAAGGCUCAGAUUGGAAGGUUGGGGGUUCAAUCCCCAGUCAAGUUAUACCAAAGACUCAAAUGGGACCUGAUGGAUCUGCUAGGCUUUCAGCACUAAGGAAAUGGAUUGGGGGAUUUGAAGACUCUUCCCAACCAAACUGGUUGUUGGGAUGUUUGGAACUACCGGGCCUGUAACUUCAUGCGAGACAUGAAAGCGGGGCAGCAAGUAUUCUUCUAGCACAGUAACUGAAAGGAGCAUUGAAUAUCUACGAGUUAUGAAGAUUGUAAAGGAGUCCUAUGUGGACCACAGUCAGUUUGACAAGACAGGUGUCCAUUACGACACCUCCAGCCAGGCAGACAACCCCAGAUGGAGUAUGAUAUGAAUGAUUUCAUGUUUACAUUUGUUUGUGUUUCAAAUGGCUGGAGAUCAAGAUACAUCACUGAUACGUAACAGGCUUUUUUUAAAUCCAAUUUAGACUGUACUAGUGCUCUGCUGGCUUGUUUCAUGUGUGACUGCCAGGUUGGUGUCCAGUUUGAGAGGAUGUUGAAGUACUUCAUUCCUCUGUCUGAGUUGAAGAAGACCCACCUGCAGCACAAGGCGCGCCCCUGAAUGGCUCUCUUCACCAGGGCCAGGCUGUCUGUCCAGCCCCUCACCAGUGGUACGUGGAGAUCAGUGACACUGAGUAAUAUGGUUGUCAAAUCUCCACCUCAUCCUAUUUUACAAAGCUUUUGUCUAAGUAAAAUCAUAUAUUAAAAUGAGUUUGGAGGACAAAGACCCACUGUGAAGAUUUGGACAAGAUGAUGCUGCUAAUAUGAUGUUUACUGUCUAUUGAACCAUUGUGCUUGUAUUGAAUGAAAAUUGGCUCAAGGUUUCUGUUUGUCAAACACCCUGGAGUUCAUUUCUAAUAUUAAAUGUUUAUAUUAAGACA